rnacentral:lncRNA from 1 species
AAGUUAAUACCCGAAGUUUGGAGUUGUCUGUCCGCUGUUUGAUAUCAAAGGUUAUACCUUUUAUACUAAGUACGUUAUAUAUUUAUGUAUUGUCUUUUGAUAUUACCCCUUAUUUGUAGCUAUAUGUGAGAUUUGACUUCUAAGACUCACAUAUGGUGUAUAUCUGGUUUUAUCCUUAAAAUCGGGUAUUACAAAGUGGUAUCAAAGCAAUGCUGACUGUAGGACGCAAGCCUAGUUAGAAAUUUGUCGUCU